UGUAUGUUUCUCUUGUUUGGUGAGAUAUCUCUGGCUGGGAUGACUGGGAGGGUGGCGAAAGGGCCACCUCAGGAGGGCAGGAAGCUGAGUUAGCAAUACGAUCCAAUUGGUGGUUUCUAAACAUGGGACCACACCACAAAUUUCAGACGUUUCCAAAAGUGCAAACUGGGGAGUGGACAGUGGUCAGGAAGCAGGGUGCCCUUUUGACCUCCAACAUCAGCUGCCGACUGGGAGAAAACGGAUGCCAACCCUGCCAGCGAUUACCGGUCCCCUUUGCCUCUGGUUCCCUGCAUAAUGAUGCCACCUAGUGGAGCAACCUUCUCUGCAACUCUUAUUUGGAACGGGUGUUUUUCCAUCUAUCUCCUAUAUUUGUAAUAGAGGCCACUUUUCUAAAUUAGAGGUGAAACAGAGCCAA